rnacentral:misc_RNA from 1 species
UUAAGUUCAGCGGGUAGUCCUACCUGAUCCGAGGUCAACGUUACGGUGCUUGGGUUGUUUUACGGCUGUGGGCGCGCUGCGCUCCCGGUGCGAGUGUUCGUGCUACUGCGCAGGGGAGGCUGCGGCGUGUCCGCCACUGGAUUUCGGGGGCGGCCGGUGAGGGCCGGUCCCCAACGCCGACCCCCCGGAGGGGCUCGAGG